rnacentral:ncRNA from 1 species
UUAUGGUAUUUUAAAAUAAGUAACGGCCUCUAAGUUUACCAACCUAAAGGAUUAAACGAUGAGAAAAUCUUUUAGUUACUUAGUAACAACCUUCCUUCUUAUGUAACCAAGUCACCUUGCGAGGGGUUUGCUUGGAAAUAUUAUUGCCAAGUACCGGCGGAAGGCGGGCAUAAGAAAAGUUGAGGGAGGUUCUGGAAAAACAGUGACAAACCUGCUUCCGGUAGUACGGAAGAAAGGGGGGAAAACAAAACCGUACCUAAAUACCACCUCAGGUAAGCUAGUAGAGAAUACGAAGGCGUUUGAGUGAACAAUCAUUAAGGAACUCGGCAAACUAACUACCGUAACUUCGGAAUAAGGAGUGCCAUUCCUCUUCAUUAAUAUGAGGUAAAGAAUAGGAAGCAUGGAAUAGUGUUGUACGACUGUUUAAUUAAAACAAAGCAUUCGCAAUAAGAUAAUAAAUCAAAGUAUUGAGUGUGAAUUCUGCCCGAUGUCGGCCGGUUAACGGAUUUACUAAGUUGACUAAUAUAAGCUUGGUUUUGAAGGAAACCCCGAUCAAUGGCGGUCUUACCUAUGAGGAUCCUAAGGUAGCGGAAUACCUUGGCCGUUAAAUGCGGUCUUGCAUGAAUGAUUUAACGAUACAACAGCUGUCUCAAUGAUUGGCUCAGUGAAAUUGGAAUGACAGUGCAGAUACUGUUUAUCUCUAGAUAGACGAGAAGACCCUAUGCAGCUUUACUGUUACUAGUUAUUAGAUAUGAUAAACAGCAUUUUUAGUGCAUAAGGUAGGUGCGCGGAGGUUUCAUUGGAUUCUUCUGUCACCCAAAUUGAAACACCUUUAUUUAGUUUUUCAUAUUGGUAAAUAUAUUUUACGUGAAAAAUCCAAUAUGGGUCUUUCAUUUCCAGAGGAACGAUGACUAGGAGGCAGUUUAUGCGGGGCACAGAUCCCAUAAAAAGUACCUGGGUGUAUCCAAAGUUAAUUUUGUAAAUUUGUUAUAAUUUAUAACAACCAAAACUAGUUUUGGUUUUUAGUUUGUUAUUAGAGAUAAAAGGCUUGGCCUUCUAUUUCCAAUCCACCUAUAUAUCUAUUGAGUUAGAACUAAAAAUUUUAAUCAAGUAAGAUUUUAUC